rnacentral:rRNA from 1 species
CGUAAUAGCUCACUGGUCGAGUCGGCCUGCGCGGAAGAUGUAACGGGGCUAAAUUAUGCACCGAAGCCGCGGCAGCGAUAUGUAAAUAUUGUUGGGUAGGGGAGCGUUCUGUAAGCCUGUGAAGGUGGCCUGUGAGGGCUGCUGGAGGUAUCAGAAGUGCGAAUGCUGACAUAAGUAACGAUAAUGCGGGUGAAAAACCCGCACGCCGGAAGACCAAGGGUUCCUGUCCAACGUUAAUCGGGGCAGGGUGAGUCG